AGUGCUCCUUGGAUAGGAACACAACGAUUGUAUGUCAGUGCCUCUCUCUAUUUGUUCCACUGUUUUCAGAAAAUCUCUCUUAAAACCAGCAUUUUAAUAACCCGGAAAUACAUCGAGAUAAGCUAAAUUAAAGACAAAGCCUGAUUUGUGUGUGGAGUGCUUCCAAGGAUCUUGAAUGGCCUUUGGGGUCCUGGACAUUUCAUCAAGUAAAUUAUGCAAAAUGAUUUCUUGAGUGGCAAUGAAUACAAAAGUGUCUGCUGGUGAUAAACAGAAAGGAAGAAGUCAACACCAGCAACAAAAGGAAAUGUACACUUGUCUGGUUUUCAUGCUGGCAUUCAUCUCAUUUCCAUGGGGAAAUUGUGAUACUUAAAUCAGUUCCAACACACAUGCAGCUGGAUUUGUCUAUGAAGAGUGGUCAUAGAGUUGCAAUUCACAUGCCUUUCUUUGGCUGGAAUUCAAGACGGUGGAAAUAGGCAGUCUCCUAUCCAGGCAUUGGCCAGACCACACCUAUUUAGAUUCAGCAAGGCUUGCGUGGCUUCAGACCAGACCCUGGGACCUCAGUAGGACUUGAUCGUUGAUUACUAAGGUGUGAGAUCUGUGUCUAAAGGGCAGAAAAAUAUAAUGAAAGAGCUGAUAUAUUUGAGAUCAAGCUGGGAGUGGUGUUUUCCAAGACUUACACUUGAAAAUACCUCCUAAAACCCUACCUGGAGAGAUGUUUUGUUGUGUUUCAAGUAAUGUUUUUUAAAUUGUAAAAAUGAUACGAUAUACAUUUUCAGCCUGAUUUAGUUUAAAUUACUUGAAAAUAAAAUACCUCCUUGAAUGAUAA